GGAUACUCUGUUCGUGAGUAGACGCCACUCUUUCACAUUUUGCAUCCAACUAUAUGAUAUAAUAGGCUGAUCAUAUUUUGUAGAUCUUAAUUACUAUCAGAUCUCCCUCUAAUUGAAAUACAAUCAUCCCUGAGACAAUCAUUCCGCUACUUUUAUAUUGGUUCCUGCUUGAGAAUUUUACUUAGCUUAGAUGGCCCUUUUAGAUAGGAUCUUUAUAUGGUAUUAGACG
rnacentral:lncRNA from 1 species